GUGUCAGCAGCCGCGGUAAUACGGAGGGUGCGAGCGUUGUCCGGAAUCACUGGGCGUAAAGGGCGCGUAGGUGGCGCGAGUAGUCAACGGUGAAAGCCCGGGGCUCAACCCCGGGUCGGCCGUCGAUACUCUCGUGCUUGAGCACUGUAGAGGCAGGUGGAAUUCCGGGUGUAGCGGUGGAAUGCGUAGAGAUCCGGAAGAACACCGGUGGCGAAGGCGGCCUGCUGGGCAGUAGCUGACACUGAGGCGCGACAGCGUGGGGAGCAAACAGGAUUAGAAACCCCCGUAGUCC
rnacentral:rRNA from 1 species